GGGCGUCAAAUUUUUGCCAAAAUCAACAAGUUUUUCACAAUUAAAUUGCCGGUAACAAUUUUUAAAUUGUUUUAGACUCAGACGAAAAAUAUAUUCAUUUAAAAAUUAUGUUAAUAUAUAAAUAAUUAAUUACUCUAAACCCUAUUACUCCAUUUCUCUUCUUCCUGCGCCGCAUGAUCUCUGUCACCAGAUUGUUUUUUUUCCCUUCUUCCUCCCUCUGCCGUCCCUCCUCCUUCCACCUCUCCUGCACUAUGUAUCCCCCCCGAGAAAGUGAAGGAAAUAUCGAAAGAAAGGUUAAUUUGAGGAUGGAAGAGGUUGAAGUGCAGUUGGUUAUAUAUUCCUGAAUCGAUAUGUUUAAAGUCCUUCACAAAAAAUUUUAUUGUAGAGUUGCUAAUUGAGAAAGAACGCAAGUUGAAAUCUUUCGUCGUGCAUGGAAGUUAAGAGAAGAAACGGUUUCGAGAUUUAUUCUAGACAACUUCAUCAGAGGUUAAGAACAAGGGAUUGAAGAAAAGGUUUAUUUUUCUGGAGAAGAUGAAGAGUUGUGUUGGGUUUUGUAACAGAUGAGAACAGGGAAUUAUUCAAAAGAAAUUAUUUGUCAACCAAAUAAAUAAUAUUUUAUUGAUUA